UGCGAAGGGGGCUAGCGUUGCUCGGAAUUACUGGGCGUAAAGCGCACGUAGGCGGUCUUUUAAGUCGGGGGUGAAAUCCUGGAGCUCAACUCCAGAACUGCCUUCGAUACUGGAAGACUUGAGUCCGGGAGAGGUGAGUGGAACUGCGAGUGUAGAGGUGAAAUUCGUAGAUAUUCGCAAGAACACCAGUGGCGAAGGCGGCUCACUGGCCCGGUACUGACGCUGAGGUGCGAAAGCGUGGGGAGCAAACAGG
rnacentral:rRNA from 1 species